rnacentral:rRNA from 1 species
GAUGAACGCUGGCGGCGUGCCUAAUACAUGCAAGUCGAGCGAACAGACGAGAAGCUUGCUCCUCUGAUGUUAGCGGCGGACGGGUGAGUAACACGUGGAUAACCUACCUAUAAGACUGGGAUAACUUCGGGAAACCGGAGCUAAUACCGGAUGAUAUUUUGAACCGCAUGGUUCAAAAGUGAAAGACGGUCUUGCUGUCACUUAUAGAUGGAUCCGCGCUGCAUUAGCUAGUUGGUAAGGUAACGGCUUACCAAGGCAACGAUGCAUAGCCGACCUGAGAGGGUGAUCGGCCACACUGGAACUGAGACACGGUCCAGACUCCUACGGGAGGCAGCAGUAGGGAAUCUUCCGCAAUGGGCGAAAGCCUGACGGAGCAACGCCGCGUGAGUGAUGAAGGUCUUCGGAUCGUAAAACUCUGUUAUUAGGGAAGAACAAAUGUGUAAGUAACUAUGCACAUCUUGACGGUACCUAAUCAGAAAGCCACGGCUAACUACGUG